rnacentral:rRNA from 1 species
GAUGAACGCUAGCUACACGGUUUAACACAUGCAAGUCGAGGGGCAGCAUGUCGGUUGCUUGCAACCGAUGAUGGCGACCGGCGCACGGGUGAGUAACGCGUAUCCAACCUACCCUUGUCCAUCGGAUAACCCGUCGAAAGGCGGCCUAACACGAUAUGCGGUUCUCAGCAGGCAUCUAACGAGAACGAAAUGUGAAGGAGAAGGAUGGGGAUGCGUCUGAUUAGCUUGUUGGCGGGGUAACGGCCCACCAAGGCGACGAUCAGUAGGGGUUCUGAGAGGAAGGUCCCCCACAUUGGAACUGAGACACGGUCCAAACUCCUACGGGAGGCAGCAGUGAGGAAUAUUGGGCAAUGGACGCAAGUCUGACCCAGCAACGCCGCGUGAAGGAAGAAGGCUUUCGGGUUGUAAACUUCUUUUGUCAGGGAACAGUAGAAGAGGGUACCUGACGAAUAAGCCACGGCUAACUACGUGCCAGCAGCCGCGGUAAUACGUAGGUGGCAAGCGUUAUCCGGAUUUAUUGGGUUUAAAGGGAGCGUAGGUGGACUGGUAAGUCAGUUGUGAAAGUUUGCGGCUCAACCGUAAAAUUGCAGUUGAUACUGUCAGUCUUGAGUACAGNAGAGGUGGGCGGAAUUCGUGGUGUAGCGGUGAAAUGCUUAGAUAUCACGAGGAACUCCGAUUGCGAAGGCAGCUCACUGGACUGCAACUGACACUGAUGCUCGAAAGUGUGGGUAUCAAACAGG